GAAGAAAGCUGGUGGCGUGCUUAACACAUGCAAGUCGAACGGAAAGGCCCUGCUUUUGUGGGGUGCUCGAGUGGCGAACGGGUGAGUAACACGUGAGUAACCUGCCCUUGACUUUGGGAUAACUUCAGGAAACUGGGGCUAAUACCGGAUAGGAGCUCCUGCUGCAUGGUGGGGGUUGGAAAGUUUCGGCGGUUGGGGAUGGACUCGCGGCUUAUCAGCUUGUUGGUGGGGUAGUGGCUUACCAAGGCUUUGACGGGUAGCCGGCCUGAGAGGGUGACCGGCCACAUUGGGACUGAGAUACGGCCCAGACUCCUACGGGAGGCAGCAGUGGGGAAUAUUGCACAAUGGGCGGAAGCCUGAUGCAGCAACGCCGCGUGCGGGAUGACGGCCUUCGGGUUGUAAACCGCUUUCGCCUGUGACGAAGCGUGAGUGACGGUAAUGGGUAAAGAAGCACCGGCUAACUACGUG
rnacentral:rRNA from 1 species